UCCACAGGCCUGGCGCGCCGCGGGACGAGGGCCGCGUCCGGGGCCCUGCAGCCGACUGACCGACCAGGCAGCUGUUAAAACACGCGCAGCAACAAACCCGGACUUGUUACAAGGCUAACUUGGUCACCCAUGUGCAACUCCGUGCAAGGCCAGGUCCUCGGGCCGCUGAACCCACAGCAUUUACCCUAAAAUUAGAUGCUGCAGCUUUUAUUGGCAUUAACAAGGAAUCAAGCAGACAAACUCAGUGUGGUUAAUAUGCUA